rnacentral:rRNA from 1 species
GUGGGGAAUCUUGCGCAAUGGGCGAAAGCCUGACGCAGCCAUGCCGCGUGAAUGAUGAAGGUCUUAGGAUUGUAAAAUUCUUUCACCGGGGACGAUAAUGACGGUACCCGGAGAAGAAGCCCCGGCUAACUUCGUGCCAGCAGCCGCGGUAAUACGAAGGGGGCUAGCGUUGCUCGGAAUUACUGGGCGUAAAGGGCGCGUAGGCGGACAGCUUAGUCAGAGGUGAAAGCCCAGGGCUCAACCUUGGGAUUGCCUUUGAUACUGGCUGUCUUGAGUUUGGGAGAGGUGAGUGGAACUCCGAGUGUAGAGGUGAAAUUCGUAGAUAUUCGGAAGAACACCAGUGGCGAAGGCGACUCACUGGCCCAAUACUGACGCUGAGGCGCGAAAGCGUGGGGAGCAAACAGGAUUAGAUACCCCAGUAGUCC